AAUCAAGAGUGUCAACGUCAGGCCCUGGCCCGUUGGCCGGCAACCCUCUCACGGUGGUGGGGUGCUCCAGGUGAUGAUUCGGCCGAACGGGACCCCGGGCGGCAAACACCGCUC
rnacentral:ncRNA from 2 species